rnacentral:rRNA from 1 species
AUACGUAGGGAGCGAGCGUUGUCCGGAAUUACUGGGCGUAAAGGGCGCGUAGGCGGCGCUUCAAGUCGUCUGUCAAAUGGAAGGGCUUGACCCUUUUUCGCAGACGAAACUGGAGAGCUUGAGAAGCAGAGAGGCAAACAGAAUUCCUGGUGUAGCGGUGAAAUGCGUAGAUAUCAGGAAGAAUACCAGUGGCGAAGGCGGUUUGCUGGCUGCAUACUGACGCUGAAGCGCGAAAGCCAGGGGAGCGAACGGGAUUAGAUACCCCGGUAGUCCUGGCAGUAAACGAUGUAUGCUGGGUGUGAGACUAGCGAUAGUUUCGUGCCGAAGUUAACGCGAUAAGCAUACCGCCUGGGGAGUACGGUCGCAAGAUUGAAACUCAAAUGAAUUGACGGGG